CUACGGGAGGCAGCAGUGGGGAAUCUUGCACAAUGGAGGAAACUCUGAUGCAGCGAUGCCGCGUGAGUGAAGAAGGCCCUUGGGUUGUAAAGCUCUUUCGUCGGGGAAGAAAAUGACUGUACCCGAAUAAGAAGGUCCGGCUAACUUCGUGCCAGCAGCCGCGGUAAUACGAAGGGACCUAGCGUAGUUCGGAAUUACUGGGCUUAAAGAGUUCGUAGGUGGUUGAAAAAGUUAGUGGUGAAAUCCCAGAGCUUAACUCUGGAACUGCCAUUAAAACUUUUCAGCUAGAGUAUGAUAGAGGAAAGCAGAAUUUCUAGUGUAGAGGUGAAAUUCGUAGAUAUUAGAAAGAAUACCAAUUGCGAAGGCAGCUUUCUGGAUCAUCACUGACACUGAGGAACGAAAGCAUGGAUAGCGAAGAGGAUUAGAUACCCUCGUAGUCCAUGCCGUAAACGAUGUGUGUUAGACGUUGGAAAUUUAUUUUCAGUGUCGCAGGGAAACCGAUAAACACACCGCCUGGGGAGUACGACCGCAAGGUUAAAACUCAAAGGAAUUGACGGA
rnacentral:rRNA from 1 species